CUCGUCUGAGUCGGAAGGUUCGAGGGUCUGACUCCGGAAGCCUCUGAAGAUCUAGUCUAAGAGAAAAGAGGAAGGCUGUGGGCUGCGACAUGUCUUGGGGCCACAAUGGACUUGUACAUACAAUGACCAGCCCCAAGGGCACAUGGCAUCAUUCUGCUUGCUUGCUUGUCAUUGUUUGCCGUCUGCACGGCCUGGAGG